rnacentral:rRNA from 1 species
GACGAACGCUGGCGGCGUGCCUAAUACAUGCAAGUUGAGCGCUGAAGGUUGGUACUUGUACCAACUGGAUGAGCAGCGAACGGGUGAGUAACGCGUGGGGAAUCUGCCUUUGAGCGGGGGACAACAUUUGGAAACGAAUGCUAAUACCGCAUAAAAACUUUAAACACAAGUUUUAAGUUUGAAAGAUGCAAUUGCAUCACUCAAAGAUGAUCCCGCGUUGUAUUAGCUAGUUGGUGAGGUAAAGGCUCACCAAGGCGAUGAUACAUAGCCGACCUGAGAGGGUGAACGACCAAAUUGGGAAUGGGACAAGGCCCAAACUCCUACGGGAGGCAGCAGUAGGGGAUCUUCGGCAAUGGACGAAAGUCUGACCGAGCAACGCCGCGGGAGUGAAGAAGGUUUUCGGAUCGUAAAACUCUGUUGGUAGAGAAGAACGUUGGUGAGAGUGGAAAGCUCAUCAAGUGACGGUAACUACCCAGAAAGGGACGGCUAACUACGUG